AGGUGAACAAGUCUGUAAAAGAGAUUAUCCUCCCACAACCCAGAAUGACACUUCACAACCUCCUCCUCCGCAAUUACCUCCAAAACCUGUGAGAGAGCUUGCAAGAGUCAUGUUCCCAUAUGGUGCAGAACAUGAAGAUGAGCUUGAGUUGAAAGAAGGUGAUGUCAUCACUGUUCUAUGUAAAGAACUUGAAGACAAGGGAUGGUGGCGAGGUGAACUUAACGGCCGUGUUGGAGUCUUUCCAGACAACUUUGUAGAACUCAUAAGUGUGGAAGAGACGGCAAAACCUCCC